UCUCCUGGAAAACGGGUGGUAAUGCCGGAUGCUCCAGUUGAUCGCAUGGUCUUCUGGGAAAGCUUUCGCGGUAUGGGAUGGGGUCGCGUCCUAUCAGCUUGACGGCGGGGUAACGGCCCACCGUGGCUUCGACGGGUAGCCGGCCUGAGAGGGCGACCGGCCACAUUGGGACUGAGAUACGGCCCAGACUCCUACGGGAGGCAGCAGUGGGGAAUAUUGCACAAUGGGCGCAAGCCUGAUGCAGCGACGCCGCGUGAGGGAUGGAGGCCUUCGGGUUGUAAACCUCUUUUAUCGGGGAGCAAGCGAGAGUGAGUUUACCCGUUGAAUAAGCACCGGCUAACUACGUGCCAGCAGCCGCGGUAAUACGUAGGGUGCAAGCGUUAUCCGGAAUUAUUGGGCGUAAAGGGCUCGUAGGCGGUUCGUCGCGUCCGGUGUGAAAGUCCAUCGCUUAACGGUGGAUCCGCGCCGGGUACGGGCGGGCUUGAGUGCGGUAGGGGAGACUGGAAUUCCCGGUGUAACGGUGGAAUGUGUAGAUAUCGGGAAGAACACCA
rnacentral:rRNA from 4 species